rnacentral:rRNA from 1 species
UAAGUUAGCGGCGGACGGGUGAGUAACACGUGGGCAACCUGCCUGUAAGACUGGGAUAACUCCGGGAAACCGGGGCUAAUACCGGAUAAUUCAUUCCCUCUCAUGAGGGAAUGCUGAAAGACGGUUUCGGCUGUCACUUACAGAUGGGCCCGCGGCGCAUUAGCUAGUUGGUGAGGUAACGGCUCACCAAGGCCACGAUGCGUAGCCGACCUGAGAGGGUGAUCGGCCACACUGGGACUGAGACACGGCCCAGACUCCUACGGGAGGCAGCAGUAGGGAAUCUUCCGCAAUGGACGAAAGUCUGACGGAGCAACGCCGCGUGAGCGAUGAAGGCCUUCGGGUCGUAAAGCUCUGUUGUUAGGGAAGAACAAGUAUCGGAGUAACUGCCGGUACCUUGACGGUACCUAACCAGAAAGCCACGGCUAACUACGUGCCAGCAGCCGCGGUAAUACGUAGGUGGCAAGCGUUGUCCGGAAUUAUUGGGCGUAAAGCGCGCGCAGGCGGUCCUUUAAGUCUGAUGUGAAAGCCCACGGCUCAACCGUGGAGGGUCAUUGGAAACUGGGGGACUUGAGUGCAGAAGAGGAGAGUGGAAUUCCACGUGUAGCGGUGAAAUGCGUAGAGAUGUGGAGGAACACCAGUGGCGAAGGCGACUCUCUGGUCUGUAACUGACGCUGAGGCGCGAAAGCGUGGGGAGCGAACAGGAUUAGAUACCCUGGUAGUCCACGCCGUAAACGAUGAGUGCUA